rnacentral:rRNA from 1 species
UGCCCAAGGCAGACCCACAAAUUUGAAAUMUGGCGCAAGCCCGAGUUGUAAUUUGUAGAGGAUGCUUCUGGCCAGCGGCCGUUCUAAGUUCCUUGGAACAGGACGUCAUAGAGGGUGAGAAUCCCGUAUGUGACCGGCGCGCAGCCUUUACGUAGCUCCUUCGACGAGUCGAGUUGUUUGGGAAUGCAGCUCUAAAUGGGAGGUAAAUUUCUUCUAAAGCUAAAUACCGGCCAGAGACCGAUAGCGCACAAGUAGAGUGAUCGAAAGAUGAAAAGCACUUUGGAAAGAGAGUUAAAAAGCACGUGAAAUUGUUGAAAGGGAAGCGCUUGCAACCAGACUUCGUAGCGAUGUUCCGCCGGUCUUCUGACCGGUCUACUCAUCGUCGCGAGGCCAACAUCGUCUGGGGCCGCCGGAUAAGACCUAAGGAAUGUAGCUUCCCUCGGGAAGUGUUAUAGCCUUUGGUGAUGCGGCGCGUCUCGGGCGAGGUCCGCGCUUCGGCAAGGAUGUUGGCGUAAUGGUUGUCAGCGGCCCGUCUUGAAACACGGAC